GGGUGGUGAUGGGACAGUGGAUAUGACACAUGCCUUUGGUGUGGGAGAUCUGGGUUUGAUUCCCACUGCGAUACACCAACCAAUGUGUCCCUGAGCAAGACACUUAACCCCUGGUUGCUCCAGAGGCGUGCAGCCUCUGAUAUACAGCAAAUGUAAGUUGCUCUGGAUAAAAGCAUCAGCUAAAUGACAUGUAAUUAUUUUUGAUUUUAAGUCU